UCCGCAGGCGGGCAAUUAAGUCAGGGGUGAAAUGGUGCGGCUCAACCGUAGCACUGCCCUUGAUACUGGUUGUCUUGAGUUGUGGUGAAGUGGCCGGAAUAUGUAGUGUAGCGGUGAAAUGCAUAGAUAUUACAUAGAACACCGAUUGCGAAGGCAGGUCACUAACCACCAACUGACGCUGAUGGACGAAAGCGUGGGGAGCGAACAGGAUUAGAUACCCUGGUAGUCC
rnacentral:rRNA from 1 species